GAUGAACGCUGGCGGCGUGCCUAAUACAUGCAAGUCGAGCGAAUGGAUUAAGAGCUUGCUCUUAUGAAGUUAGCGGCGGCCGGGUGAGUAACACGUGGGUAACCUGCCCAUAAGACUGGGAUAACUCCGGGAAACCGGGGCUAAUACCGGAUAACAUUUUGAACCGCAUGGUUAGAAAUUGAAAGGCGGCUUCGGCUGUUACUCAUGGAUGGACCCGCGUCGCAUUAGCUAGUGGGUGAGGUAAAGGCUCACCAAGGCAACGAUGCGUAGCCGACCUGAGAGGGUGGUCGGCCACACUGGGACUGAGACACGGCCCAGACUCCUACGGGAGGCAGCAGUAGGGAAUCUUCCGCAAUGGACGAAAGUCUGACGGAGCAACGCCGCGUGAGUGAUGAAGGCUUUCGGGUCGUAAAACUCUGUUGUUAGGGAAGAACAAGUGCUAGUUGAAUAAGCUGGCACCUUGACGGUACCUAACCAGAAAGCCACGGCUAACUACGUGCCAGCAGCCGCAGUAA
rnacentral:rRNA from 1 species